rnacentral:misc_RNA from 1 species
CCAAUAGCGUAUAUUAAAGUUGUUGUGGUUAAAAAGCUCGUAGUUGAACCUUGGGCCUGGCUGGCCGGUCCGCCUCACCGCGUGUACUGGUCCGGCCGGGCCUUUCCCUCUGUGGAACCCCAUGCCCUUCACUGGGUGUGGCGGGGAAACAGGACUUUUACUGUGAAAAAAUUAGAGUGCUCCAGGCAGGCCUAUGCUCGAAUACAUUAGCAUGGAAUAAUAGAAUAGGACGUGUGGUUCUAUUUUGUUGGUUUCUAGGACCGCCGUAAUGAUUAAUAGGGACAGUCGGGGGCAUCAGUAUUCAAUUGUCAGAGGUGAAAUUCUUGGAUUUAUUGAAGACUAACUACUGCGAAAGCAUUUGCCAAGGAUGUUUUCAUUAAUCAGGAACGAAAGUUAGGGGAUCGAAGACGAUCAGAUACCGUCGUAGUCUUAACCAUAAACUAUGCCGACUAGGGAUCGGACGGUGUUAUUUUUUGACCCGUUCGGCACCUUAUG